CGCAUUCCAUCCAACCCUCCUCUUGGUCAUCUACUACCUCUACAAGCAGUCCACGUUUGACCCUGACACUAUUCAAGAUCUUUAUCAAUUCUGUUCUCAAGGGCUUUUUCCAGUGAACUCUAUUGCAUUCAGGACUUUGGGAUGGCUCUGUAUGCAGAUGAAGCCAAUAAUGCACUACAAGUUCCAACUUAGAGAAAGUAUGGUUAAUCAAGGUUACUAAGAGCAGAAAGUAAUUCUAAUCAGUUGCUCUACCUCCAACAAGAGAUGAGCAAGAGAUGAGCAGCCUUUCUCCCAGUCUUGGUGGGAUCAGCUUCACAGCCUCUCUCUCCUCGGUAGUGAUCUCAAGAACAGCUUUGGGCCACAAUGUUAUCUCAACCAACACUCCAAAACAACUCCAACAGUUAGCAGAGGAGGUCACUAGGUCCACUGAGACCUCCGCUUACUCCAUUCAAGGUCUCCAAAGUCAAAUCACCUCACUAACGGAUGAUUGCUUUAAAGCUAUUUUUGAAGAGAGGACUUGAAAGAGGAGAAUGGAUCAAUCACUGUUUAGCCUGCUAGACCCUCUUUGAUGUACAGUAACCAAAAGUCAUUCUCGUCACAUCACAGAAGGUUUAGGUGAGGUGUGGAAACUCGGUCGAGUGUAUUGAGUUUAAAAAGAAUGACAUGUUGCCUGACCUCAAGAGUAGCAGUGUAAGUCAGCUGUUUUCAGCAUCACAGGUAUGGCCUUUUAGACAAGUUUGCUCCCCAAGAGCCUUCUUUUCAUUUUGCCAUUUUUAAUAAUGAAACUGGAACAACUAAACUUUGAGCAGGAGGCUAUUAUUAUAUUCAGCAGUAUUAGUUAGCUGGGUGGCACUGGAAUGGCUCAAUAGUUUGUCCAGGUUUGGUGACCAUCCUGAUGGGUUGAUAUCUGUGCCACCACAGUUGUCAAAUAUUUUACUUCAUAUAAGAUAUUUACCAGAAUUCUUAGUCACCAAUGGACUAACUACUAUAAUCAUUAUUAAUUAUUUGUGGGUUUGUUUAAUAUCUUUCCCUCUCCUUCAACACUCACCUCUUGAGAGAACAGGGUAUAAUGUCUUCUAACUUCUCUGCAUAGGGCAGUUCUUGUCAUAUAAUAGUCACUCAAUAAAUACAUUUUUUGAAUGAAUUAAUGAAUUGGGACUUCCCCAUAUAGUCACAUUUUAGGAUUUGUGUCAGUCCUAGAAGGAUAGUCACUUUCAUUUCUUUAUAGCAUCAGCUGUGUAUCCUUUCAGAGUAAUUUUGACAUUGAAUACAUUAAAAACUGGAAGAACGUUUUUCACUGUGGAUUGUUAUUUGAUCUCCAUGUUUUUCAGAACGAUGUCUCUAUGAUCCACUUUGCCUGUUGCGUGGAGCUCAACAUCUUUAGAAUGAAACCUCCAGUCUUCGUCAGGGUAGGGAAGGAGCCGUAACUCAGCCGCUUGGAGUGGAGGACAGGAUCCAGGGCUAGGGAGCCAACUGAGAGUGAGGAUUUCAGCUCUCCUGUUUUCAGUAUUAACUGAAUAUCCAUCUUCAGAGGGUCGCUGUACCUACGAUUCCCUAGCUAUUCAAGAGUCACUGAUAUGGAUCAUAUUGAGCCUGGGCUACCCAAGCUGCCAGUCUUGGUUUCAGCUUUCUCUGAUCUGCUAGAUUAAAGUUAUGCUGUGAUUUCUCCUCUUACGUUUUUCCUGUCUUUAUAUUGUUUUAGUCCCUUUACUGUCAUGUUAGUGUGGUUUUUGGAAGAAGCACAGGCCAAACAAAGUAUGAGUUUUGUUUAUUUCAUAGAUUUAAUAUACUUCUCUCACUUUUUAAACAUGAAAUUUUUGUUAAUAAGCAAUAUAUUUGUGUACAUAAAGUAUAUUUAUAUGGCAUAUACAAAUGUAUGCAUAUAAAAAAGGGGACUUCAAAGACUCUGUGGAAAACUAAAUUGAAAUAUAUGUUUAUUUUGAUAGAAAAAAUUUGAAAUCUAUGCAUACAAGGGGUCUUCAAGAAGAUCAUGAAAAUGCAUAUUAUGAAAAACUAUUCCUGGAUUCAAUUUUUUUCCACCAAAGCAAACUUACUUUAACUCAAUGUUUUCCACAAACUGCCCAUGUGUACACACCAUAAAUACACACACUCACACACACAAUAUAACAGAAUGGUAAAUGAGUAACCAUGCACGUCACUGAAUUUAAGCAGUGCCCCAGGUGCUCCUUCCUAUGUCCUCCUGCCUCCCCUGUUAAUGGUAACAGCUAUUUCAAAUUGUGUGUUUAAAAUUCCCUUGUCUUUCAAUUUCAAUCUGUGUGCUUUUGCUAAUUUAAGCUAUGAUAAUAACCUAAAUCAAGAAAUGUUGAUUUUUUUUCCCCUCAAGUACAUAUCAGGUGCAGAUUGGCUGCGUUUCUGUGGGUCAGCUUGGCCUCUGCUCCAUGCCUUCACACCAGGGCUCAGGCUAAAGGGGGAACCCUAUUU